CCUACGGGAGGCAGCAGUGAGGAAUAUUGGUCAAUGGGCUUACGCCUGAACCAGCCAAGUCGCGUGAGGGAAGACUGCCCUAUGGGUUGUAAACCUCUUUUGUCAGGGAGCAACGCCGGCUACGUGUAGCCUGCCUGAGAGUACCUGAAGAAAAAGCAUCGCCAACCUCCGUGCCAGCAGCCGCGGUAAUCCGGGGGAUGCGAGCGUUAUCCGGAUUUAUUGGGUUUAAAGGGUGCGUAGGCGGCAUGCCAAGUCAGCGGUAAAAUCGCGGGGCUAAACCACGCUCCGCCGUUGAAACUGGCGGUCUUGAGUGGGCGAGAAGUAUGCGGAAGGCGUGGUGGAGCGGUGAAAUGCAUAGAUAUAACGCAGAACUCCGAUUGCGAAGGCAGCAGACCGGAGCCCAACUGACGCUGAAGCACGAAAGCGUGGGUAUCGAACAGGAUUAGAUACCCUAGUAGUC
rnacentral:rRNA from 1 species